rnacentral:rRNA from 1 species
AACGAACGCUGGCGGCAUGCCUAACACAUGCAAGUCGAACGAGACCUUCGGGUCUAGUGGCGCACGGGUGCGUAACGUGUGGGAACCUGCCCUUAGGCUCGGAAUAACUCUCCGAAAGGGGUGCUAAUACCGGAUAAUGUCUUCGGACCAAAGAUUUAUCGCCCUUGGAUGGGCCCGCGUUGGAUUAGCCUGUUGGUAGGGUAAAAGCCUACCAAGGCGACGAUCCAUAGCUGGUCUGAGAGGAUGAUCAGCCACACUGGGACUGAGACGCGGCCCAGAAUCCUACGGGAGGCAGCAGUGGGGAAUAUUGGACAAUGGGCGGAAGCCUGAUCCAGCAAUGCCGCGUGAGUGAUGAAGGCCUUAGGGUUGUAAAGCUCUUUUACCCGGGAUGAUAAUGACAGUACCGGGAGAAUAAGCUCCGGCUAACUCCGUG